AAGUUUAAGUUAACCCAAACCAAGGGCCUUCNAAGCCCUAAAUAGGAUCUUACAAUCCUAACUUCUG
rnacentral:tRNA from 1 species